UACGUAGGGGGCAAGCGUUGUCCGGAUUUAUUGGGCGUAAAGAGCGUGUAGGCGGCUAGAUAGGUCCGUUGUGAAAACUCGAGGCUCAACCUCGAGACGCCGAUGGAAACCAUCUAGCUAGAGUCCGGAAGAGGAGAAUGGAAUUCCUGGUGUAGCGGUGAAAGUGCGCAGAUAUCAGGAAGAACACCCCGUGGCUAAGGCGGUUCUCUAGUACGGUACUGACGCUGAGACGCGAAAGCGUGGGGAGCGAACAGG
rnacentral:rRNA from 1 species